AAGGAGUGGCAUGUGAACA
rnacentral:snRNA from 1 species